rnacentral:ncRNA from 1 species
CAUCAAAAACCAAGUCUCUAAGCAAUGGAUGUCUUGGCUCCUCACACGAUGAAGAACGUGGCAUAAUGUGUUAAGUAACCGGAGUUGCAAACAUCAUGACAGGUUAAUCUUUGAAUGCAAAUUGCGCUAAACUCGAUCUCGGUCGAGAAGCAUGGGUGUGACAGUACUACAUCUUUUAUAAUAAUUCUUAUUCUAAGCGAAUAAGUAAAUAAUAUAUAAGACAAACAACACGUAGUCUGCCAUACGCAGGAAGACCCGCUGAACUGAAGCAUCUCAUUAAGCGGAGGAAAAGAAACUAACUAGGAUUCCCUUAGUAAAGGCGAUCGAAAAGGGAACAGCCCAACGUCUUAAUCCCGCAAGGGAAAUGUAGUCGGUUCACCUAUUGCACUGGUCUAA